rnacentral:rRNA from 1 species
CCUACGGGCGGCAGCAGUGGGGGAUAUUGCACAAUGGGGGAAACCCUGAUGCAGCGACGCCGCGUGAGUGAAGAAGUAUUUCGGUAUGUAAAGCUCUAUCAGCAGGGAAGAAAAUGACAGUACCUGACCAAGAAGCCCCGGCUAACUACGUGCCAGCAGCCGCGGUAAUACGUAGGGGGCAAGCGUUAUCCGGGUUUACUGGGUGUAAAGGGAGCGUAGACGGUUAUGUAAGUCUGGAGGGAAAGCCCGGGGCCCAACCCCGGGACUGCUUUGGAAACUGUGUAACUGGAGUGCAGGAGGGGCAGGCGGAAUGCCUGGUGUAGCGGUGAAAUGCGUAGAUAUCAGGAGGAACACCGGCGGCGAAGGCGGCCUGCUGGACUGAAACUGACGUUGAGGCUCGAAAGCGUGGGGAGCAAACAGGAUUAGAUACCCCUGUAGUC